ensembl:lncRNA
GCCUGUUCUUUGACCCCACCUGACUUCUAGACAUCUACAGGAGGGGAGAGAAAACCUCAGAGGUAUGAAGUGACCACCCUUCCUGGUGAAAUCUGAAAGCCCUUACCUUCUAGGUUGGAGUAUGUUUCAAGAUCUGAGCAGCUAUUCAGCUGUUAGGCGCUGGGUGAAAAAGAUUACAGGUUUAUUAUAGAAGGAUAUAACCCAGGAACAGCCAGAUGGAAGAGGCUCACAGGGUAGCAUCCAUGCCCCGUCUGAGUGACCAGUGUGCCAGCAUUUCUACGUGUCCACCAGCCCGGAAACUCCCAACUAUGUCAAAGAGUCAGUUUGGACACGGGAAGAAAACUCUAGAUACAUUUUUCUGGAUAAACGAGGUAACUGGAGAAAUCACCUACCCCCAGCAGAAGACAGACGCACCCGCAGCGUCACCAGCUCCUCUCCAGAAGCCAGGAGAGGGACCCAGAUCUCAGCGCGGGGCCCUGCAGGGUGCUCCUCCCAGCACCCAAGGCGCGGCCGGCACACUUGCGCAGAAGGCCGCCCCUCCACCCCCUCCUAAAGCUGCACGGAAAGACGUUGGCUCUCGAAACUCCUUCCCAGCUCCGCCGCCCUAUCUCCUGGCCAAAGAUGGAGCCCUGAGCCCCUCGCCGUUCUCUGCAGUUCCUGUCACCAUCUCGCCGCCAGGAGGCGCUGGGCCACCGUUCAGCCCGCUUGGGCCAGCCCUUCUGCCGCAAGCCUCUGCCUUUCCUCCCAGCCCUUCAGGCCCCUGGGGCUUCACCUGCAAGCUGAAAAACAUCCUUACUGGGAAUAACCGAUUUUCCUUUUGAGCCUGAGCAAAUACGCCUGACCACGCCCUCCAAGCACCUUGCUGAACCAUUGUCGCCUGGCACCAGUACUCCUUCACGCCAUAAAAGACCGGCCUGCCUACCCUAGAAGCACUAAGGACCCUUGGCAGAGUUCUUAUAAGAAUAUGCCCAGUGCUUUCAAAUCCCAUAUAAAUUUAACUUAGAUUUUGACAC